rnacentral:rRNA from 1 species
CCUACGGGGGGCAGCAGUGAGGAAUAUUGGUCAAUGGACGAGAGUCUGAACCAGCCAAGUAGCGUGAAGGAUGACUGCCCCAUGGGUUGUAAACUUCUUUUAUAUGGGAAUAAAAUGUUCCACGUGUGGGAUUUUGUAUGUACCAUAUGAAUAAGGAUCGGCUAACUCCGUGCCAGCAGCCGCGGUAAUACGGAGGAUCCGAGCGUUAUCCGGAUUUAUUGGGUUUAAAGGGAGCGUAGGUGGAUUGUUAAGUCAGUUGUGAAAGUUUGCGGCUCAACCGUAAAAUUGCAGUUGAAACUGGCAGUCUUGAGUACAGUAGAGGUGGGCGGAAUUCGUGGUGUAGCGGUGAAAUGCUUAGAUAUCACGAAGAACUCCGAUUGCGAAGGCAGUUCACUGGACUGCAACUGACACUGAGGCUCGAAAGUGUGGGUAUCAAACAGGAUUAGAUACCCCAGUAGUC